rnacentral:rRNA from 1 species
AUUGAACGCUGGCGGCAGGCCUAACACAUGCAAGUCGAGCGGAUGACAGGAGCUUGCUCCUGAAUUCAGCGGCGGACGGGUGAGUAAUGCCUAGGAAUCUGCCUGGUAGUGGGGGACAACGUUUCGAAAGGAACGCUAAUACCGCAUACGUCCUACGGGAGAAAGCAGGGGACCUUCGGGCCUUGCGCUAUCAGAUGAGCCUAGGUCGGAUUAGCUAGUUGGUGAGGUAAUGGCUCACCAAGGCGACGAUCCGUAACUGGUCUGAGAGGAUGAUCAGUCACACUGGAACUGAGACACGGUCCAGACUCCUACGGGAGGCAGCAGUGGGGAAUAUUGGACAAUGGGCGAAAGCCUGAUCCAGCCAUGCCGCGUGUGUGAAGAAGGUCUUCGGAUUGUAAAGCACUUUAAGUUGGGAGAAGGCAUUAACCUAAUACGUUAGUGUUUUGACGUUACCGACAGAAUAAGCACCGGCUAACUCUGUGCCAGCAGCCGCGG